GCUCUUUCCAAAAGCAUAAGUUUUCUAACUCUCAGAUGAAGGGGAAAAAUUCGAGCCAGGACCAACAGGCUCAUAUUGUGUUCUCGACAUUAUCCCGAAGGAUUGUCCUCUGCUCCACCUGUGUAGGUACUACAGAGUUUUUAGAAACACGGUUUAAUCCUUGCCCUUUAGUGCACUUUUCGGUGAGGUCUCGCCGUCACCGAGCGAUCCACAGGAGAUGCGAACAUCCCCCUUGCACAGCGGUUACUGUUACUGCCGUGUUGUGGUGAUCCACCACUGAAACGUCUUGCCCGUGAAGGAACAAGGCGACUAGAGGCUGUGUCUCGUCCCCGAGGGGACUCGACGGCUACGGUUCACUCCCAGCGAAAAGGUCUGGAAGCGAAGGCUAUUUCCCCUUCCCCAAGAGGAAGCCAGGCCACUCGUGGCUCGGAUCAAGUCACGAGUUGGUCUAUCGUAUCCAUCAAUUCCCUUAGUCUCUUUUGAUUUUCCUUACUUGCUACCAGGUUAUGCAGUACUUCGCUCGCGGUUAACGACCAGUUGAUACUGGUGUCCCGCCGGAAGGCUUCGGUAUAGGGACAGUGAAGUACGUAGUGCAGCGCGUCACCACGCUGCACGCCACAGGAGCAGCAACUACUAGCCCUCCUCU
rnacentral:lncRNA from 1 species